GAUGAACGCUGGCGGCGUGCCUAAUACAUGCAAGUCGAGCGAACAGACGAGGAGCUUGCCCCUCUGACGUUAGCGGCGGACGGGUGAGUAACACGUGGAUAACCUACCUAUAAGACUGGGAUAACUUCGGGAAACCGGAGCUAAUACCGGAUAAUAUAUUGAACCGCAUGGUUCAAUAGUGAAAGACGGUUUUGCUGUCACUUAUAGAUGGAUCCGCGCCGCAUUAGCUAGUUGGUAAGGUAACGGCUUGCCAAGGCAACGAUGCGUAGCCGACCUGAGAGGGUGAUCGGCCACACUGGAACUGAGACACGGUCCAGACUCCUACGGGAGGCAGCAGUAGGGAAUCUUCCGCAAUGGGCGAAAGCCUGACGGAGCAACGCCGCGUGAGUGAUGAAGGUCUUCGGAUCGUAAAACUCUGUUAUUAGGGAAGAACAAAUGUGCAAGUAACUAUGCACGUCUUGACGGUACCUAAUCAGAAAGCCACGGCUAACUACGUG
rnacentral:rRNA from 1 species